rnacentral:rRNA from 1 species
GCCAUGCACCACCUGUACACCAGCCCAAAAGGCGCGACCAUCUCUGGCCGAUUCCGGUGUAUGUCAAGCCUUGGUAAGGUUCUUCGCGUUGCGUCGAAUUAAGCCACAUGCUCCGCCGCUUGUGCGGGCCCCCGUCAAUUCCUUUGAGUUUUAGCCUUGCGGCCGUACUCCCCAGGCGGGGCACUUAAUGCGUUAGCUGCGGCACGGACGACGUGGAAUGCCGCCCACACCUAGUGCCCAACGUUUACGGCGUGGACUACCAGGGUAUCUAAUCCUGUUCGCUCCCCACGCUUUCGCUCCUCAGCGUCAGUAUCGGCCCAGAGAUCCGCCUUCGCCACCGGUGUUCCUCCUGAUAUCUGCGCAUUUCACCGCUACACCAGGAAUUCCAAUCUCCCCUACCGAACUCUAGCCUGCCCGUAUCGAAUGCCAACCCGGGGUUAAGCCCCGGGCUUUCACAUCCGACGCGACACGCCGCCUACGAGCUCUUUACGCCCAAUAAUUCCGGACAACGCUUGCACCCUACGUAUUACCGCGGCUGCUGGCACGUAGUUAGCCGGUGCUUCUUCUGCAGGUACCGUCACUUUUUUAAAGGCUUCUUCCCUGCUGAAAGAGGUUUACAACCCC